CACAGUAACCCUUUUUAGCACUGUUUCUAAAACAGUUUAAUGAAUCUUUUUUUCUGCAUAUAUCCUUCAUCUUUAUUUUUCUGAAGGUUUUUUUUUUUUUCUGUCCUAUUUUACAGCAGUAUAGAAAUUGAACACCAAAAUUCUGCUUAUAUACAUCUUGACUCUUGUCCUGUGCUGAUAUAACAGGAAGACAACUGAAUGCUUGCAAGGGCUUGGUCUUUGCUCUGGUUUUGAAGAUGUUAGAAAUCUGGGAAACUAUUUUGGAAUACAAUCCUCAUACUUUGGUCUGCUAUCCAUAACAGACUUUCCGGACGAGAGAAGAAACCUCAUGUGCCCUGCUUCAAAUGCUGCUGUUUACCUUUCAUAACUGCCUGAAUCAACAAGAUGGAUAAAUAUUUUUCUGUCAUGACGGGAUGAGAGAAAGAUGGAAAGAACAACAUGUGACAGAGGAGUCCAGCUGUGCCUGCGCAGACCUUGGAUGUUCAGCAUGUCAUCUGCACAGAGGCACAGACAUGGCACCUUCCCUGCCUGGCUCCAAGACCUCAGCUUGGAUGCAUCUCCCAGCCCUCCUCUGGCCUGUAUUGCUCAGUCCCAGGCUCUGGACACUGCAAGAGGGAUUUCCUGUCCUGGGGUCAAGGACUCUCACAUCCAAAGAGACAGAGGCCUUGCUGGCAGCUCGUUGAACCAAAAUCACUCAAGAAACAAGCUGUGCUAAUACAAGAACAAAGAAAGUCUUUAUUUACAAGAUCUGAAUGUAAAAAAAUGUUCAUAAAGCAGGUGUAGAGAAAAGAAGGGAACUAUGCUUAUUUUAAAGGUGUUUUUUCAUUCUCUGUUGACAAGUUGACAGGCAGUUUAUGCGCUUAUUUUAGCACAUGGCUGUGAACUAGUACUUUUUGUCCUUUAUUUUGUAGUCGCUGAAAAAAAUCUUAGCUCUCUGUAAUUCCUUUAAAGCUUAAUUCCUACAUUUCAGUUCAUUCUCUGGAUAAAUUGACUUGCUUCAAGAAAAAAAAGUAUGAAAAACAAAGUAGAACACCCCUGGCAGGUAAAGUUUUCAGUGUUAUGUUUGCCCUUUACAUUUUUAUGAAUCAAGCAAUGUGACAACCAUGCUUUACACAAUCAAAGAGGAUUAAUGCAGAAAGUUUCACAUCAUUUUGAGCUGAGACUAGGGAAAGAUGAAAAAAUUAUGUCAGGUGAGAAAAGGUUAGGAACCAAUAGCAUGUUCACUGAGGGCUACCUUAACUCAGUCUCUUUGGACUCCAUUAAAAAAACUAUUUUUAAAAAUUACUCUAUAUUGGCCUGCUGUAGCUGUGUCUGCCACCAUAAAGUUCUGUGAGAAGUGGAAUUUUUCAACUGAGUUAUUCACCUAAUUUUCUGGAAAGUGACUGAAUAUUCACCAAAAUCCUGGGGAAAACAGGAAUCCCCUUAAGUUCUUGUUAAUUUGCUUUUAUACACUUCUGGAUGGCAUCCAUUGGUGAUGUAGUAUUGAAUAACAGCAUAGUAAUGAUGUUUGACACUCACAUUGAUUCAAGAUAGUUUUGAGGCUACUAAUCCAGUGAAAUCCCUGAAAUAUCUAUCAGCAUAAGUAUUUUUAGGGAAAUGUUAUGAAAUGCGGUAGAAUAAGGAAGAUUUUGAUGUCUGAAUAUUUUCACCACGAGAGUCAUUAGACUGCAAUUCUGAAGCAAUGUAUGUGCACACAUCACCAUUGCAAUUUUUUUUCUCUCUUUCAGUUCCAGAAGGAACAUUCCAAGGCUCUCACCUCAUUCACGUUGAAAUGAAAAAAAAUUAGCUAACAUGUGAGAAAGACCAAAUUUUGGGGGAAAAAAAAAAAAAAAUGUUAACACCGUGCCCUGUAGCCAAUAGAUUUUACGAAUAUACCCAGAAAUUAUAACUGAAGACAAGGAAAAAUUUUCACCAGAGUUGAACUUAUUUCUGAUUUAUGCUGCUUGGCUGAGAAAUCCCCUCAACCUGUCACUCUCCUUGCUGUGUUCACACACUGCAGAAAUCACAGCAAACAUGCUGCCAAAGCAGAUUGUGGUGCUUUCUUUCCUCAUCAAACUCUGAAACUGUUGAAUUUAUCCACACAAGAAGUGUUAGAGCUACUUUCAGACUCCUGAAGAGUCAUUCUCUUCACAGCACAUUUCUCCAGCUUCCUUUGAGAAGCAUUGUGCCAGAACGUUUUGAUGUCUGACUUGGGCAAACUGCAAACCCCCGGGGCCAGCGUAGAAUUAGAACUAAUCAGGCUUUUAAAUACAUAAGGUAUGGUAUUGAAUAGAUCUCCCAGAAUAUCUAUAGGGCAAAUGACAAGACAGAUAGCAGUUUGCCCUGAGGAGAACUCUAAUGAGACAUGCACUCCCUGCAAGACUUGCC
ensembl:lncRNA